GGAUUCCUGCACCUCGAGCCGCCUUCCAUCAUGUCUUGAUAGUGUUACUGUGUGAGCCGUGUAUGAAGUGAAAGUGCAUGCAUAAAGGACAUACAUGUAUGGGACACUGGCGAGUGACUGAGGUGAUCACCAGUCACGUUACCGUGGCAUCUGCUUGCGUCGCGGGAUGUAGUUGGUGGCAGAUGAAGGAGCCUGAAGGGGCGGAACGAACAGAGGAAUGAGUAAACAAGCAGACAAACAAGGGAAUGAAGUCGUGUCAUGUCCCCCGCGCUGGUCUCAUAACCUUAAGCUACAGCAGCUCCCUGCUGGGAGCUCAGGUUUGUCCGCCCCGUUGAAAUGGAAGUCGAAGCGGCGGCGGCAGAGGGGUAUUGUGUCAGUUGGCGGUGUGAGUUUCAGAGAGAAAGAUCAUAACGUGGAAGUGCUUCAUGCGUCACCUUCCUGGAGAGUAAGUACCUCUUAACCGUUUAGUUAUUUGUACGGUACACUCGGCUACUUACAUGAUAACUUCUCCUUCACGCCAAUAUUACCAAACUGUAUCACUUGUAUCACUUUUAAGCAGUAUUUCUGUGGUUACUGUAGGGAGCUCGUAGACGUUGCUGACAAGGCGCGGUUCUUCACUGUGUUCAUUAUAAUUAUGUCCUCAUUUGAGUAUAUUGGUAUUUGUCCUCUUCAUAUCAAGUGCGUAAACAAACUCAGAACUUGUUACCCAGUUUAUCUAUUGUGAAUUAUUUAGAUGACCUAUUGAUAACGUAUUGUUAUUGUAUGGUUAGUAACUGUUUGCUUAUGUAUAGGAAUCACUGAAAUAUAAGUUGAAAGGGAGAGACAAUUAAAAAAAAACUAUGCACACACACACACACGUACACGCACACGUACACACACACAAAAAAACCUGUUGGUGAUACUAUUCUUAUUCAAGAGCAAAGUGACGGGAAUUACUAAUGCAUAUUCCGAAUAAACUUUGUGGGAAACCCCGCCCAAAAAGUUUAACCAGUAAGUCAAGCUACAAAACGACAUGCCUCUCGUGAACUCUUCUUUCAUAGCACUGAAUUAGGAGAAUGUUGCGAUGUGUUUCAAGGUAUUCCUCCUGAGUGCACCACGGGUAAUCUGGAAACAUAGUUUGUUUCCUUUGUUACUAGCCUCUUCAGAUCCAUGACACAUUUCCAUAUUCAUUCUGCUAACAAUAUGGGGAUUUUCUACAGCUUCAGUAACUUAAAUGAAGAUUAAAAUAGUAAAGA